rnacentral:rRNA from 1 species
ACACAUGCAAGUCGAACGGUAACAGGAAGCAGCUUGCUGCUUUGCUGACGAGUGGCGGACGGGUGAGUAAUGUCUGGGAAACUGCCUGAUGGAGGGGGAUAACUACUGGAAACGGUAGCUAAUACCGCAUAACGUCGCAAGACCAAAGAGGGGGACCUUCGGGCCUCUUGCCAUCGGAUGUGCCCAGAUGGGAUUAGCUUGUUGGUGGGGUAACGGCUCACCUAGGCGACGAUCCCUAGCUGGUCUGAGAGGAUGACCAGCCACACUGGAACUGAGACACGGUCCAGACUCCUACGGGAGGCAGCAGUGGGGAAUAUUGCACAAUGGGCGCAAGCCUGAUGCAGCCAUGCCGCGUGUAUGAAGAAGGCCUUCGGGUUGUAAAGUACUUUCAGCGGGGAGGAAGGGAGUAAAGUUAAUACCUUUGCUCAUUGACGUUACCCGCAGAAGAAGCACCGGCUAACUCCGUGCCAGCAGCCGCGGUAAUACGGAGGGUGCAAGCGUUAAUCGGAAUUACUGGGCGUAAAGCGCACGCAGGCGGUUUGUUAAGUCAGAUGUGAAAUCCCCGGGCUCAACCUGGGAACUGCAUCUGAUACUGGCAAGCUUGAGUCUCGUAGAGGGGGGUAGAAUUCCAGGUGUAGCGGUGAAAUGCGUAGAGAUCUGGAGGAAUACCGGUGGCGAAGGCGGCCCCCUGGACGAAGACUGACG